CCCUCCUUUCCCCAUCACAGGGAGGGGGCGGAGCAUCCUCUGAGAAGCUUGGAUUUGAGCUGUGCCUGGCCACUCUUGGGGGAGGGGCUGCAUUUCACGAGGCUGCAGCUGACAAGAAGCUUCAAGUUGAAAUUUUCCUGGACCUGAUCAAGUGCGUAGCCUGAUUGCUGUGUUGACAACAGCCUUGUCUGUGUCCUCCUUGUAACUCAUUCUUUCAGACAACAGCUUACCUUAACAUCUGAGAUGCACAUGACCUGGGGAAUCUUCAGGAAUCUGUGACACCAAUUGAGCCCCAGAAGGGCAGUGCAACCACAGAAGUGCUGAACAAGGAGACGGCCCUGAGGCAGACAAGCAGCUAGCGUGAG